UACGUAGGUGACAAGCGUUGUCCGGAUUUACUGGGCGUAAAGAGCGCGCAGGCGGUCGAUCAAGUCGAGUGUGAAAGCCCCCGGCUCAACUGGGGAGGGUCAUUCGAUACUGAUCGACUCGAAGGCAGGAGAGGGUAGUGGAAUUCCCGGUGUAGUGGUGAAAUGCGUAGAUAUCAGGAGGAACACCGGUGGCGAAGGCGGGUCUCUGGGCCGAUACUGACGCUGAGGAGCGAAAGCGUGGGGAGCGAACAGG
rnacentral:rRNA from 1 species